UACGAAGGGGGCUAGCGUUGCUCGGAAUCACUGGGCGUAAAGGGUGCGUAGGCGGGUCUUUAAGUCAGGGGUGAAAUCCUGGAGCUCAACUCCAGAACUGCCUUUGAUACUGAAGAUCUUGAGUUCGGGAGAGGUGAGUGGAACUGCGAGUGUAGAGGUGAAAUUCGUAGAUAUUCGCAAGAACACCGGUGGCGAAGGCGGCGAUCUGGGUAGAUACUGACGCUGAGGUGCGAAAGCGUGGGGAGCAAACAGG
rnacentral:rRNA from 1 species